GCUGCUGGGGAAGUCAUGAGCUACCUGUGGGGCGAGCUGACCAUCCGUACUACCGUCGCCUUGAAUGCCUCCAACCAGCAGUGUUUGCUGCCAGACAGACACCUUGAGAAGACAGAGGACAUGGUUAAGUUCAUGAAGGAUAUCUUGGAUGGUGCUGCUGAAGCACAGGCUGGUGAUGGACUUCUGCAACGAAGCAAGAGAGUCAUCUAUGAGGCCAAGGCUGCUGUAAUGUCUGUCCCAGUCCUCUGUCAGCCUCCCAGACAAGAAAUCUCUGCUCCUGUUGAGGCGGAGCAGCUUCUGUCUGUUGUUACUUGUCCUAGUGCUGAGCACCACCAAGCAGCAGCUGGGCCCUUGGUGCUGACCCCUGCCCCUUGGUGAAAACAAGAGAGGAGCAAGGCAGGAAGCACAAAAGCAAACCUCUCUCAUGAAGGAAACAGCACAACUUCAAGCACAGCUUUCAGCACAGCAUACCAAGGAGGAACAGAAAUCCCAAGCAGAGCAGAGGGGAGGAGUGGCUUAGAGAAAAGCAAAAGCACCCCACAAAGCACAGAGCCAAAACACCACCCCACAAAGGACACAGCCAACCUACCCCCGCAAAGGGGAGCAGCCAAAGGCUUCUGCCUCUCCUGGGGCAACUUAAAAAGGGGAGGUCAAUUGAAGUCUCCUCCCACCCCAGCUGUGGCCACUUUGCCCUCCCUGCUCAGUGCCCUUUAUAAGCAGAGCAGGAGGAGCCCAGCCCCAAGCUGGGCCCAUUGCGGGCCAAGGGAUCCUCCGCCUGGCAUCCCAGGAGGUUGGAUCCUCGAGGGUUUUGCUCUGGGUUCUGCGAUGGAGGCAAAGAUGGAGCAGGAGCACCAACUGGAGCUGGUAAUGGACCAGCAGCAGCAGCUGGUAAUGGAACUGAUAAACAAAGAGCAAGUGCGACUGAAAGAGCUUUGCAGAAAGCAGGAGUCAGCCACCUGCCACCCAUCCCCUCCUGAUCCCAACCCCAGAAACCCAAAGCAGCACUUGGCACAGGAGGUCUCUCGUGUUGCAGUCUCACCUUCACGCCCUGGAAUACUUUGCUUCAGCCAGCAGCAUGGGGUUGGAUACCAACAGCAGAGUCGACUUAACCUGUGACUAAGUGGACUUUAAGUGUUCUGACUCCACAGUAGAACUUGAUAAAGAAAGAUGUGAAUGGAAGCAGGCUCUGACUGCUCUGUGUAACUGAUGAGAAGCUUUCUGAAGGAGGUGAAUUUGUUUUACAGCCCUUCACUCAGCUGGUUACAGAUCUUCAAGGUAGCUGCUGGUGCAGUGUCUGUUGGAGACUGUUAGCCACUCUGAAGGAGGGAGUUAGUGGAGCAUCAUAGGAACAUGUAGAGAGAUUGGUCAGUAAAAGGCAUUUGUGUUA